rnacentral:rRNA from 1 species
GACGAACGCUGGCGGCGUGCCUAAUACAUGCAAGUUGAGCGAUGAAGAUUGGUGCUUGCACCAAUUUGAAGAGCAGCGAACGGGUGAGUAACGCGUGGGGAAUCUGCCUUUGAGCGGGGGACAACAUUUGGAAACGAAUGCUAAUACCGCAUAACAACUUUAAACAUAAGUUUUAAGUUUGAAAGAUGCAAUUGCAUCACUCAAAGAUGAUCCCGCGUUGUAUUAGCUAGUUGGUGAGGUAAAGGCUCACCAAGGCGAUGAUACAUAGCCGACCUGAGAGGGUGAUCGGCCACAUUGGGACUGAGACACGGCCCAAACUCCUACGGGAGGCAGCAGUAGGGAAUCUUCGGCAAUGGACGAAAGUCUGACCGAGCAACGCCGCGUGAGUGAAGAAGGUUUUCGGAUCGUAAAACUCUGUUGGUAGAGAAGAACGUUGGUGAGAGUGGAAAGCUCAUCAAGUGACGGUAACUACCCAGAAAGGGACGGCUAACU